rnacentral:rRNA from 1 species
UACGUAGGUGGCAAGCGUUGUCCGGAUUUACUGGGUGUAAAGGGCGUGCAGCCGGGCCGACAAGUCAGAUGUGAAAUCCGCGGGCUUAACCCGCGAACUGCAUUUGAAACUAUUGGUCUUGAGUACCGGAGAGGUCAUCGGAAUUCCUUGUGUAGCGGUGAAAUGCGUAGAUAUUUGGAAGAACACCGAUGGCGAAGGCAGCCUCCUGGGACGCAACUGACGCUCAUACACGAAAGCGUGGGGAGCAAACAGG